rnacentral:rRNA from 1 species
GCCUACGGGGCGCAGCAGUGGGGAAUAUUGGGCAAUGGGCGCAAGCCUGACCCAGCAACGCCGCGUGAAGGAAGAAGGCUUUCGGGUUGUAAACUUCUUUUAAGAGGGAAGAGCAGAAGACGGUACCUCUUGAAUAAGCCACGGCUAACUACGUGCCAGCAGCCGCGGUAAUACGUAGGUGGCAAGCGUUGUCCGGAUUUACUGGGUGUAAAGGGCGUGCAGCCGGGAAGACAAGUCAGAUGUGAAAUCCCGCGGCUCAACCCCGGGACUGCAUUUGAAACUGUCAGGCGGGAGUGCAGGAGAGG